UUCAAUUUGCAUACCAAAAUGUAUUUUGGUUUUUUAGCAAAACGGUUGCAUUUAGAAAAAAUGUUUUUUUUUGCUUUAUAUGGUGCCUUCUACCUAUACCUUUAAGGAACACACUAUUUUCGGGGACACCCUGUAGUACUUAGGCAAGAUUGUGUAAACCAAUUUAUUGCUUGUAACUUGAAGGUACUAUUAUUUGUAUAACUAUUUCUGGAAUGACUGGUUUUUUUAAACCAUUCGGUAGAUCUGUUCGCCAACUCUUGAGUUUCUUGUUUUUUAGGCUCAGUAGUAGAUGUAGUCGUUGAUUUAAAUGGUUUGUAACUUAUGAUCUUCUAAUACUCAAAACAAGGUUGAGUAAUUCAAGUUAUUGCUUAAAGAAAGCAUGUGCUCUUACUUGCAUAACAUUUUCUGCAGUGAGUAGUUCUAAUGAAUCAUUCAGCAGGUAUUCUCAAUUAACUCUUGAGUUAGUCUUGGUCAAUUUAUUGCCUACAAAGCAUGAGUGCUCAAUUCAAUAGGUCUUUAGCCCACAUUUCGAGUUUUUAAUUUUGUUGGGUUCAGAGUGGCUGUAGGUGAUUGGCACACUUUCUAAUCGUCCACGAUCUACUAAUACUUAAAACUAGGUUGAAUAAAUCAAUUUGUUGCGUAAAGACAGCAUGUGCUUCUACUUGCAUACAGUUUUCUGCAGUGAGUAGUUCUAAUAAAUCAUUCAGCAUAUCUUCUCAACCAACUCUUGAAUUUUUCCUCUUUAGUUUAUAAGUUGAUGUAGUAGUUGAUUGGGAGUUUUUAGUCUUCUAUGAGACGAGAAAUCAAAAUCAAAACAAUAUUUUUUAGAUCAAUUUGUUGCCUACGACGCAUAUAUGCUGAUAUUUGUAUAACCUUAUCUGCAGUGAGUAGUUUUAAUGAAUGAUUCAGUAGAUCUUUUGGCCUACAUUUCGAGUUAUUUAUUUCUUGACUUUCUGAGUGGGUGUAGGUGAUUGGUACACUUCUAAAUUAGUCUACGAUCUUGUAGUACUCAAAACAAGGUUGAGUAAGUCAAGUUUGUUGCGCAAGGAAUGCCUGUGCUCGUACUUGCAUAACAUUUUCUGCGGUGAGUAGUUCGAAUUAAUCAUUCAAUAGAUGUUCGCCAACUCUUGAUUUUUUUUAUCUUUUACAAGUGGAUGCAGUUCUUGAUUUGCGUGGCUUCUAACCUACGAUCUUCUAAUAUGGAAACAAGGUUGUGUAAGAUAAUUUUUUGCCUAAAGACCGCAUGUUCUCUUACUUGCAUAACGUAGUCUGCAGUGAAUAGUUCUAAUGAAUCAUUCAGCAUGUCUUCUUAACCAACUCUUGAAUUUUUCCUUUUUAGUUUAUAAGUUGAUGUACUAGUUUAUUGGAGUUUUUUAGUCUUCUAUGAGAUGAGAAAAUAAAAUCAAAACAAUAUUUGUUAGGUCAAUUUGUUGCCUACGAAGUAUAUAUGCUGAUAUUUACAUGACCUUAACUGCAGUGAGUAGUUCUAAUGAAUAAUUCAAUAGAUAUUUUGGCCUAUAUUUCCAGUUUUUUAUUUUUCGAGUUCAGGAGUAGGUGUAGGUGAUCGGCAUACUUUUAUUCGUCUACGAUCUUCUAAAGUGUCACUUAUAAGUGUUAAAUUGUGACAAUUUUGUAAAAAUGGAUAAAACAUUCAAAAGUCAUGAUAAUUCUAAUAUAAAACGAAGUCCCGCCAGAAGAGUCCCAUCGGAUAUUUUUCGCAAUCCUUUCUUGAAUGUUAUGAUAGAUUUUCGUAGGUCCGAUAAACAAAAUUUAACAGUAACUGAAUUAGUGAGAAGAGGAACCCAAAUUUGGAGACAGAUGAGCGAAAAAGAUUUUUUAGUCUUCUACAAGACCAGAAAUCAAAAUCAAAACAAGAUUGUAUAGGUCAAUUUGUUGAAAAUGCAUGCGUGCUCCUAUUUGCAUGACCUUAUCUGCAGUGAGUAGUUUUAAUGAACGAUUCAGUAGAUGUUUUGGCCUACAUUUCGAGUUUUUCAUUUUUUAAGUUCAGUAAUGGAUGUAGAUGAAUGGUAUACUUUUUAAUCUUCUACGAUCUUCUAAUACUGAAAACAAUAUUGAGUAAGACAAUUUGUUGCGUAAAAAUCGCAUGUGUUCCCACUUCCAUAACGUUUCUAAUUAAUCAUUCAGUAGUAUAAUCUUCGAGUAUAUUACGCAAUCGUUGAUUUCCAUGGUUUCAUGUAAUCUACGAUGUUUUAAUAAUGACAACAAGACAAUUAAGUAAGACAAUUUGGUACGUAAAAGACGUUGUAUGCAGGACGUGUAAUAGUUGAUUGGAAUGUUUUUUAGUCCUCUAUAAGACCAGCAAUCAAAAUCAAAACAAGAUUGUGUACAAUUUUUUUGCCUACAAAGCACGUGUGUUCAUAUUUGCAUAACCUUGUCUGCAGUGAGUAGUUCUAAUGAAUGAUUCAGUAGAUCUUUUGGCCUACAUUUAAAGUUUUUUUUAUUUUUUAAGUUCAGAGCAUGUUUAAGUUCAUUUUGAAAGAGCAUGUUCCCAUGUUUGCAUAACGUUUUCUGUGGUCAGUAGUUCUAAUUAAUUACUCAGUAGGUCCACUGACUAAUUAAGUUUUUUCAUCUUUUGGUUUCAACAAUGGAUGUAUUAGCUAAUUGGCAUGAUUUCUAGUCUUCUAUGUUUUGUAUUUUAAUUUGUGAUAAUGUCUUCAUGAGUAAAAAUCAUGAAUUAGUAUCAGAUUGACACCAGAGAGUCUAUUUAAUCUUAUAAAACAACCUUUGAGCCAUAAUCAAGAUUGGCACAAUUGAGGUAGUUUAAUGGAAAUCUAAUAUUUACUAAACAUUAAAAUAUAUUUUGUUUAACAUUAAUUUUUAAAAUUUACCUUCUACCUUAAUAUCCAAAAAAAAUAAAUUUAGGUUCUUAGGCCAAAAACUAUUAAAAAUAGCAAAACCAUGAUUACAGCAAA
rnacentral:lncRNA from 1 species